AAGGGGGUGUGUCAGGGGAGGUGCAGAUGCUUCUCCCAGUAGGGAGCAGCAGUGAACUUUUUACUCAUCCUCCUCCUCUCUUCCCUACCACUCGCCUCUACAACAUCAGGCCCUACCACAGCAAAGACAAGGUGGAGCUGUAUCGAAUGGUCCGCCAACUUCACCUGAGGACACAGGGUGG